rnacentral:ncRNA from 1 species
UCUUUUGAGUAGGGGUGCCUUAAUACAACGGGCUGAGAUCAUACCCAAUGAACCUGAUACCGGUAAUGCGAUCGCAGGGAUUUUGGUUAAGGAAAAU